CCUACGGGAGGCAGCAGUGGGGAAUAUUGCACAAUGGGGGAAACCCUGACGCAGCAACGCCGCGUGGGUGAAGAAGGCUUUCGGGUCGUAAAGCCCUGUCAGGUGGGAAGAACCGUUUCGAUACUAAUAAUGUCGAAGCCUGACGGUACCACCAGAGGAAGCACCGGCCAACUCCGUGCCAGCAGCCGCGGUAAUACGGAGGGUGCAAGCGUUGUUCGGAAUUAUUGGGCGUAAAGAGCGUGUAGGCGGUUCGGUAAGUCAGAUGUGAAAGCCCUGGGCUCAACCCAGGAAGUGCAUUUGAAACUACCAGACUUGAGUACGGGAGGGGGGAGCGGAAUUCCCAGUGUAGCGGUGAAAUGCGUAGAUACUGGGAGGAACACCGGUGGCGAAGGCGGCUCCCUGGACCGGUACUGACACUGAGGUGCGAAAGCGUGGGUAGCAAACAGGAUUAGAUACCCUGGUAGUCCACGCCGUAAACGAUGGGCACUAGGUGCAGCGGGUGUCGACCCCUGCUGUGCCGUAGUUAACGCAUUAAGUGCCCCGCCUGGGGAGUACGGCCGCAAGGCUAAAACUCAAAGGAAUUGACGG
rnacentral:rRNA from 1 species